GGGGGGAGGUCGGAUCCUGGGCUGUGUCCCCAGUGCCCUGUGCUCCCAGCCUGCGCUGUUGGAUUUGCGCUCCCGGCCGUGCAUCCCCGU
rnacentral:pre_miRNA from 1 species